AGUCGAACGAUGAUCCCAGCUUGCUGGGGGAUUAGUGGCGAACGGGUGAGUAACACGUGAGUAACCUGCCCUUGACUCAUGGGAUAAGCCUGGGAAACUGGGUCUAAUACCGGAUACGACCAUCUGGCGCAUGUCAUGGUGGUGGAAAGCUUUUGUGGUUUUGGAUGGACUCGCGGCCUAUCAGCUUGUUGGUGGGGUAAUGGCCUACCAAGGCGACGACGGGUAGCCGGCCUGAGAGGGUGACCGGCCACACUGGGACUGAGACACGGCCCAGACUCCUACGGGAGGCAGCAGUGGGGAAUAUUGCACAAUGGGCGCAAGCCUGAUGCAGCGACGCCGCGUGAGGGAUGACGGCCUUCGGGUUGUAAACCUCUUUCAGUAGGGAAGAAGCGUAAGUGACGGUACCUGCAGAAGAAGCGCCGGCUAACUACGUGCCAGCAGCCGCGGUAAUACGUAGGGCGCAAGCGUUAUCCGGAAUUAUUGGGCGUAAAGAGCUCGUAGGCGGUUUGUCGCGUCUGCUGUGAAAGACCGGGGCUCAACUCCGGUUCUGCAGUGGGUACGGGCAGACUAGAGUGCAGUAGGGGAGACUGGAAUUCCUGGUGUAGCGGUGAAAUGCGCAGAUAUCAGGAGGAACACCGAUGGCGAAGGCAGGUCUCUGGGCUGUAACUGACGCUGAGGAGCGAAAGCAUGGGGAGCGAACAGGAUUAGAUACCCUGGUAGAA
rnacentral:rRNA from 1 species